GACGAACGCUGGCGGCGUGCUUAACACAUGCAAGUCGAACGGAAAGGCCCUGCUUUUGUGGGGUGCUCGAGUGGCGAACGGGUGAGUAACACGUGAGUAACCUGCCCUUGACUUUGGGAUAACUUCAGGAAACUGGGGCUAAUACCGGAUAGGAGCUCCUGCUGCAUGGUGGGGGUUGGAAAGUUUCGGCGGUUGGGGAUGGACUCGCGGCUUAUCAGCUUGUUGGUGGGGUAGUGGCUUACCAAGGCUUUGACGGGUAGCCGGCAUGAGAGGGUGACCGGCCACAUUGGGACUGAGAUACGGCGCAGACUCGUAUGGGACGCAGCAGUGGGGAAUAUUGCACAAUGGGCGGAAGCCUGAUGCAGCAACGCCGCGUGCGGGAUGACGGCCUUCGGGUUGUAAACCGCUUUCGCAUGUGACGAAGCGUGAGUGACGGUAAUGGGUAAAGAAGCACCGGCUAACUACGUG
rnacentral:rRNA from 1 species